rnacentral:ncRNA from 1 species
AAUAAAUUUUUUAUGAUUUAAAAAAUUCAUUAUGAAUUUAUUUUACAUGCAAAUUUUAGUAUGAAUUUUUAAUUAUUUAAAUAAUAAUUAAUAAUAAAAGCAGUAAUUACAUUUAAAAAUUUAAGAAAUUAAGAUUUAGUAAUAUUUAAAUUAAUAACAAAUUUUGUGCCAGCAGUUGCGGUUACACAAAAGUUAAAUUGAAUUUUUUUAGUUUAUAAUAAUUAAUGGUUAAAUUUAAAAUAAAAAUAAAAUUAUUAGGUAAAAUUUUAAUUUUAUUAAAUUUUAUUGAAAAAUUAUGAUUUAGUAAAUUUAUAGUUAAACUAGGAUUAGAUACCCUAUUAUAAAAUUUUUAUUUUUAAUACUAAAAUAGUAGAUAAUUAUUUAUUGAAACUUAAAUAAUUUGGCGGUAUUUUAGUUCAUUUAGAGGAAUCUGUUUAAUAAUUGAUAAUCCACGAAUAAAUUUACUUAAUUUAAAAUUUUGUAUAUCGUUGUUAAAAAAAUAUUUUUUAAUAAAAAUAAUAUUUAAAAAUUUUUAUUAAAAUUAAUUCAGAUCAAGAUGCAGAUUAUAAUUAAGAAUAUGAUGGAUUACAAUAAAUUUAUUUAAAUGGAUAUAUAUUUUGAAAAAAAUAAUUAAAAGUGGAUUUAAAUGUAAUUUUAUUUAAUUUAAUAAAAUGAUUGAAAAUUAAAAUAUGUACAUAUUGCCCGUCACUUUCAUUUUAAAAUUGAAAUAAGUCGUAACAAAGUAGAGGUACUGGAAAGUGUUUCUAGAAAGAA